rnacentral:rRNA from 2 species
GGACUACCCGGGUAUCUAAUCCCGUUUGCUCCCCUAGCUUUCGCGCACUCAGCGUCAGAAGAGGUCCAGUCCGCCGCUUUCGCCACCGGCGUUCCUUCUGAUAUCUACGCAUUUCACCGCUCCACCAGAAGUUCCGCAGACCCCUACCUCCCUCGAGACUGGCAGUAUCCAAGGCACUUUUCCAGUUAAGCUGAAAGAUUUCACCCCGGACUUGCCAACCCGCCUACGCGCCCUUUAAGCCCAGUGAAUCCGAACAACGUUCGCACGGUUCGUCUUACCGCGGCGGCUGGCAC